GAGUUUGAUUCUGGCUCAGGAUGAACGCUGGCGGCGUGCUUAACACAUGCAAGUCGAGCGGAGUUUACAAUGGAAAGAUCUUCGGAAAUGGAAGCUGUAAACUUAGCGGCGGACGGGUGCGUAACGCGUGGGUAAUCUGCCCCUAUCAUCGGGAUAACACAUCGAAAGAUGUGCUAAUACCGAAUAACAUACUUUUUUGGCAUCAAGAGAGUGUCAAAGCGAAAGCGGAUAGGGAUGAGCCUGCGUCUGAUUAGCUAGUUGGUGGGGUAAAGGCCUACCAAGGCGACGAUCAGUAGCCGACCUGAGAGGGUGAUCGGCCACACUGGAACUGAGACACGGUCCAGACUCCUACGGGAGGCAGCAGUGGGGAAUAUUGCACCAAUGGGCGCAAGCCUGAUGCAGCAACGCCGCGUGAGCGAAGAAGGUCUUCGGAUCGUAAAGCUCUGUCGCAUGGGAAGAUAAUGACGNUNCCAU
rnacentral:rRNA from 2 species